UGGCCCACCAAGCCGAUGAUCGGUACGGGUUGUGAGAGCAAGGGCCCGGAGAUGGAACCUGAGACGAGGUUCCAGACCCUACGGGGUGCAGCAGGCGCGAAACCUCCGCAAUGUACGAAAGUGCGACGGGGGGAUCCCAAGUGUUAUGCUUUUUUGUAUGACUUUUCAUUAGUGUAAAAAGCUUUUAGAAUAAGAGCUGGGCAAGACCGGUGCCAGCCGCCGCGGUAACACCGGCAGCUCGAGUGGUAGCUGUUUUUAUUGGGCCUAAAGCGUUCGUAGCCGGUUUGAUAAGUCUUUGGUGAAAGCUUGUAGCUUAACUAUAAGAAUUGCUGGAGAUACUAUUAGACUUGAAGUCGGGAGAGGUUAGAGGUACUACCGGGGUAGGGGUGAAAUCCUAUAAUCCUGGGAGGACCACCUGUGGCGAAGGCGUCUAACUGGAACGAUCUUGACGGUGAGUAACGAAAGCCAGGGGCGCGAACCGGAUUAGAUACCCGGGUAGUCCUGGCCGUAAACGAUGUGGACUUGGUGUUGGAAUGGCUUUGAGUUGUUCCGGUGCCGAAGGGAAGCUGUUAAGUCCACCGCCUGGGAAGUACGGUCGCAAGACUGAAACUUAA
rnacentral:rRNA from 1 species